CCUCUGAACCCUGACCCCUGUUUUCACUAGAGACCUAGUUUGACCUCUGAACCCUAACCCCUGUUUUCAGUAGAUACGUAGUUUGACCUCUGAACCCUAACCCCUGUUUUCACUAAAAACCUAGUUUGACCCUAAAACUCCAGAUGGUACUGAGGCCAGAAACUAAAAACAGACAUAUAUGGCCCAUGAACAACAGACAUACUGUAUAUGGCCCAUGAACAACAGACAUACUGUAUAUGGCCCAUGAACAACAGACAUACUGUAUAUGGCCCAUGAACAACAGACAUACUGUAUAUGGCCCAUGAACAACAGACAUACUGUAUAUGGCCCAUGAACAACAGACAUACUGUAUAUGGCCCAUGAACAACAGACAUACUGUAUAUGGCCCAUGAACAACAGACUUUGGUGUUUAUAUGGACAAAAGACAGUACCAUAAUAGAGUGCCAAUGCCAAGUACAGGAGAGUGCCAAAAGAGGGACUUGAGCCAAUAACCUGGUUCAGCCAAAAGAGGGACUUGAGCCAAUAACCUGGUUCAGCCAAAAGAGGAAAUUGAACCAAUAACCUGGUCCAGCCAAAAGGACUUGAACCAAUAAGCUGGUUCAGCCAAAAGGACUUGAACCAAUAACCUGGUCCAGCCAAAAGGACUUGAACCAAUAAGCUGGUUCAGCCAAAAGGACUUGAACCAAUAAGCUGGUUCAGCCAAAAGGACUUGAACCAAUAACCUGGUUCAGCCAAAAGGACUUGAACCAAUAACCUGGUCCAGCCAAAAGGACUUGAACCAAUAACCUGUUCAGCCAAAAGGACUUGAACCAAUAACAAGGUCCAGCCAAAAGAGGGAGUUGAACUAAUAACCAGCUAAUGAACAGUGACUCCCUCUCAAUUCCUGAUUACUACUGAACUCUGAUGAAGAUGAUGGUAAUGAUGAUGAUGAUGAUGGUAAUGGUGAUAAUGAUGAUGAUGAUGAUGGUGAUGAUGAUGGUAAUGAUGAUGAUGGUGAUGGUAAUGAUGAUGGUGAUGAUGGUAAUGAUGAUGAUGAUGAUGGUGAUGAUGAUGGUAAUGAUGAUGACGAUGAUGAUGAUGAUGAUGGUGAUGAUGAUGAUGAUGAUGAUGAUGAUGCUGAUGGUAAUGAUGAUGGUGAUGAUGAUGAUGAUGGUAAUGAUGAUGGUGAUGGUAAUGAUGAUGGUGAUGAUGAUGGUAAUGAUGAUGUAAUGAUGAUGGUGAUGAUGAUGGUAAUGAUGAUGAUGAUGGUAAUGAUGAUGAUUAUGAUGAUGAUGAUGGUGAUGAUGGUGAUGAUGGUGAUGGUGAUGAUGAUAUAUGAUGAUGAUGAUGGUAAUGAUGAUGAUGAUGAUGAUGGUGAUGACGAUGAUGGUAAUGAUGAUGGUAAUGAUGAAGGUGAUGUAUGAUGAUGAUAUGUUUACUGUGCUCUACAAGCAGGACUAGUAGGGACAUGCAUGCUUAUCCCUGCACCAUAUUUCUGUUCUGACCCAGUUGUUAUUGCCACUGAAGACUCCAGUCACUCAGUCAGUCUCACAGGGGGCCAUGAUGUAUAGGUCAAUAUUACACAUUGAUUUAUUAUAUUGAUACUGAUCACUUUUAUAUUAUCUACCAAGCUGUGUUAGCACUGGUGAUGCUACUACCGCUUCAAUGCACUGGAUUUAAUGUAUAUACAUCACUAAGAGGACAGAGAGAGGACAGAGAGAGGACAGAGAGGAGAGGAGAGGAGAGACAGAGAGGAGAGAGAGGAGAGAGAGAGAGGACAGAGAGAGAGGAGAGAGAGAGAGAGGAGAGGAGAGAGGAGAGACAGAGAGGAGAGAGAGAGAGAGACAGAGAGGAGAGAGAAGAGACAGAGAGGAGAGAGAGUGGAGAGAGGAGGGAGAGAGAGGAGAGAGAGGAGAGAGAGAGACAGACAGAGAGAGGAAGAGAGAGAGAGAGAGAGAGAGAGAGAGAGAGAGAGAGUGGAGAGAGGAGAGACAGAGAGGACAGAGAGGAGAGAGAGGAGAGGAGAGACAGAGAGGAGAGAGAGAGAGAGAGAGAGAGAGAGAGGACAGAGAGAGGAGAGAGAGAGGAGAGAGAGAGGAGAGAGAGAGAGAGAGAGUGGAGAGAGGAGAGACAGAGAGAGAAGAGACAGAGAGGAGAGAGAGUGGAGAGAGGAGAGAGAGAGAGGAGAGAGAGGAGAGACAGAGAGGAGAGAGAGAGAGAGAGAGGAGAGAGGACAGAGAGAGGAGAGAGAGAGAGACAGACAGACAGACAGAGACAGUGAGAGAUAAUGUGUGUGUGUACAUAAUCAGUCAGGGCUAGGUUACUGUGUGUGUGUGUGUGUGUGUGUGUGUGUGUGUGUGUGUGUGUGUGUGUGUGUGUGUGUGUGUG
rnacentral:lncRNA from 1 species